CUGGCUUUGAGCCACUGUCCUUGGAUUUCAGCCUCCUGAGUAGCUAGGAUUAUAAGCAUGAACAACCAGCACCCAGCCAUCUUGGUUUGUUUUUAAUAAUAAAAGAAAAAGAAUAGUAAAUCAUGAAUAAAUGAAGAAACUGUGUUGUCUACAAAGACAAAUACAGGAAGUAAAAUAGGCCAACUAUGGAGAACAGCGAUGGCUCAAAAUUCAUCCUGUUAUUCACAGAAAUAAUAGGGAACCUGUGAACAAUAUGAUGCUCAGAUACUACUGGUAGAACACUGGCUGCUGAGCAUUCUGGUAAUCAAAUACAUAAGAUUUUUUUUUAAACCUAGCAUUGUAAACCCAGGAAUUUAUACAAAAAUAAGUAAAAUAUCCUACAAACAAAAUUCAACAGAAACAUUACUGAAAAUGAAGUCAACAGCAUUACUAUAGUAUGGAUUGUCUGCAGCAACUUUUGUUUUCCAUAGGUGGUUCAACCCUGAGGAUAUAGUAACUGCAUACUCUGUGUGAUUAUCAUCACUUAUCCAACAGAUAUGCUUCAGUGCUUCCUAUAUAAUGUGGGAGAGGAUGAGGAUAAUAAUAGCAGAAGAUCGUGUUGUUGAAUAAAAUGAAGUUGAAGGAGGAGGGAAUUAUGGGUGUAUGAUGAGCAAAACUAGAAUCUUAAAGAACAAUUCAAGGUCUAAUUUAGGGUAUUAGCAGAAGAACAGAAGAAAGAGUUAGAAGACCCAGGCAACACUGAAAAGGAGAAGGUAACUCAAUUCAGAGCCUGUAUAUGGAUGGGUAAAGGAAAGACAGGUCAUUGUGCUGUCAUUAGAUUAUGCCAUUAACAGAAAAGGUCUGUCAGAGGGAUUCUGGUAGAAAGCAAGUACUAGAGAUAUUUUCUGACACAUCAAAUUUGAGACAGUAAGAUAUCUAAAUACCAAUGUCUAGCUGAUCAUUAAAAGUCAUAGAGCAGGAGUUUGGGCAGGGCUUUGGCUGGGAAAGUGAGACUAACUUGUCUAAAUUGCUUACAGGGAAUAGUCAGAGUCAAUAACAAUGCAUUGAUUCUCAGCCAGCCAGGAAGAAGAAUAGAUGAAAGAAGAAAUCUGUACUCUGGGCAGUUGCAAUGAUAAGAAUCAACGUCAGAAUACUUUUGCAGAUCUAUAAAUCUGACUAAUAAAAUAGUAAAAUGAAAACCAAGACAUGAUAGUACAACAGAAGUCAACAGUAGAUAGAACUUGAGGGAGAAGGAAGUUGGCUAUAUUAGACCAAACUAAGAGUGUGUGGCUUUGUGCUGCUGUAAAGGCAGAAUGCUGUAAGGUAUAAGAAAGGGGUUCUGCAGACUUCUUGUUCUCCACAUGCAACAGUAAAAAGGAGAGAUGUAGAGAUGUAGAGAUGGUAGCUAUAGAAAGGAUUACACAACACCAUUUUAAAGGAGCCACUGAAAAUUGCAUAGACCAUGAAUCCAAUGAAAUUUGCUCGUAUGUUUAUUUACUUGCAUAUUUAUUGAUUUAUUUUUGCACAGGUUUCUCAAUUUUUCUUAAAAGGAAUAGCACCAAGUUAUAUUCAUUCCAGAUUAUAUAAAAGCUGGAUUGACUAGUUGAUCUAGGAAUGAAGUUAAAACACAAGUAUUACUUAAGCUGACAAAACCAGUCCUCAAAAUUACUUUGCAUUUGAGAGCACAGCACUGGUACAGCCUGUAACACCAGCUAGGCACAAAGCAUAGGUAGCAAGAACGAAGCCUUAGGCUGGCCUUGGGCAAAAAGCUCAAAAACUUAUCUGAAAACUUAAAUAGAUAAGAGCUGGGAAUCUAGUCUAAGGGAUAAAGCACUUGCCUAGCAAGUAAGAAGUCCAGAGUUCAAGGCCCAGUCCAGUACUGCCAACAAAUAAGCAAACAAAACUGCAUUUGAGAAAAAAAAAAAACAACUAAUAGGAGCAAAGAAAAGUUUAAUAGAACAGUAAAGCUAUCUACCUCUUCCAUCUACUUCUAGGUGAGUUCAGUUGUUCCCGUCUUCCUUUUAGUUUAAAUAAAUGCUUAGAUGCUUCUAUAUAAUGACACUGGAGGCAUUGGUGAAGUCUUGUGGGUAAAGUGUGCCACGCUGGACAAUAAAGGGAUAAGUCAGAGUUUGAACAGAUGUGGGCUUUAUGGUUUUUUUCACCUCUAUACCACUCCAUAGGCAAAGCAGUAGACAGCGGAUAGUCAGGAGAUAAGGGGACAACUAAGUGGACAGUGUUCUGCUGUCUGCUCCUCUUCUCAUGAGGGGAAUAGGAAGUUCUCGUGAAGUUAAGAACCUGAUGGGCCAGAGCAGCUCAGACUUAGCUCCUUGCUUCUCAUCUCAUCAGGCUGUUGAGUAAAGCAUACAUCCACAUUCCAGAACUGCACUGCAGCUGUUACAGUUAGUUCUACAUUUGUUUUCCUCCAUUUUCUGGACCAUGGUAGACCUGGCCCUAUUCUACUUUAAAAUAUGAAUAUACUCUUCAUGAUUUCCUAAGACAGGUCACCUGAAAAGAGAAUCUAUUUCUGAAAAGAUAUGCUUUUCCCCCCCUACACAGAAUAACUGGAUGAAGUGAUCCUAACACGCUGAAAAUAACUAUGGUCCAAUUGAUAUGUUACAUGAUUUAUGUGUAUUUACCUUUCAUUUACCAGGUCAUAUUACAUUUCUUAUAUAUUCUUCUCUAAUGACUCAGGAUUUUUUAAUCAACAUGUAUUUUACUAUGCAUCUAUCAUGACACUAGACAAUAUAGGGCUUUGAAAAGCAGUUUAAUUUUAAAGAAACAAACUUCAAUAAUAAAGUUCUCUUGAUAAUUUAAGACACAGAGUACUCAGGCAACGUCUGUUCUCUCACACAUCACUGCUCUUCUGUGUGUACUGCUUUACCAAAGCUUGGUGAAAAGGGAAAGGGUCUAGAUUUGCCAAGAUGGACCCAACACAACAGCAUGUUUCAUAUGGAGAACUAGCUGACAUGAAUCCUGCACAGAGCUUGCAGCUAUUACAUGGGAUGCAUUCAGAAAGGACUGGAAAUCAGUGAGAAGAUAUCAAGUCUGUAAGAACAAAGGCAAAUACUGCUGAUGGGGGGAUUUUUCUUUCCUGAUUUAACCAAACAUAUACCUGCAGAGCUCUAAGAGACUCAUGGGCCUUAAUUUUCCUUCUUAACAAGAAUGCUGCCUAUCAACAAAAGUUAAGCAUUUCAUAGGGAGUUAGAUUUUUUUUUUAAUUAUGUGGAAGUCCAGUUAAGCUUAUUUCAAAAUUGGUUAGCUACAGAAGUAAGCAGCACAACAGGAUUUUAACUAUUGAAUUGUAUCAGUUUGUAAUCUCCACAACCAGUAGAGACCCAGACCAACACCAGACAAGAUAGCCUUUAGAAAGGAACUGUGCAAAUGGCCUCAGGCAGCUAGCUGGCUUUGACUUUCUACCCAACUGCUCCCAGCUGAGGAGAAAAAGCUCCUAGACCUCAGGUAUAUACAAGUUUUAUUUUUAAAACUCACUAAAGUUAGUGUAACUGAAUUGCAAUACAAAGUAUUUUAAGUUAAUUUUAAUGUAACAACAGCCAACAUUUACUGAAUAGUAAUUAGUGAUGCAGUCUUUGUGUUCAGGGUUUCUACAAAUGAGCUUUCUUACUUCUGACUAAGCCUUGACUCAGGCAGCUUUAAGUCCUGCUCUUGACUAGGUCUGACCUUGGGCUUCUUUUACUAUCCUUGCUGAAUUCAGUAUGAACAGAAUUCUGCUAAGUCAGUUUAGAGAAAAUCCCCACCAUGGGUAUCUGAUCACCCCAGCCUGCUUUGAGUAACAAAUGCUGUCUAAUCAGUUUAACCAGAAAGCCCUUCACACCUGCUGUUUCCUCUUUGCAAUCUUCCAUUCACUGAUCCCAGCUCACUCCUUGGUAAUAAUUCCUCACUUGUCCUUACAGACAUCAGAGUGGAGUUCAAUCUUUCUUCCCCUAGGCAGGACCUGUUGCAAUCUCUCUAUACCCAUCAACGUGCCUCCCACCCACUGAAUGAAGUCUGCAUAUACAGUCUUUAACAAUGGGUAGAUGGAAGUUUUCAACACCUUUCAAGAUAGUAGGCCCUAUUCCUAUUAUCAUCUUAUUAUAUGAGGAAAUGAAACUCAGAGAAGUUAGAAAAUUUUCUAAAGACUAUACAACUAAUUAGUGGCAGAGAUGGGAUUCAGUCCCACACAAUAUUCUAUUUAUUCUUCUCCAUUAUAUAA